AGAUACAAUCUACAGACCAAAUAUACAAAUGUGUUGCGAGGGACGAGUACAUGUAAUUAAUGAAGAAAUAACAAGCUGUGAAAAAGUAACAUGGGGCACAGAGAAUCAAACAGAUAAGGUCUGUGGAAAUAAACCUUACUCAUCGCAACACCACCAGUGUUGUGGUAACGUGGUUACAAGUUUAACAGAAAGAUGCCAAAGCAAGCAAGUGAACGACAUCCUGCGGGUUGUAAGGAGCGUUUUAAAAUUGUGGCUAAGAAAACCGAGGCAGGG